UACGUAGGGUGCGAGCGUUAAUCGGAAUUACUGUGCGUAAAGCGUGCGCAGGCGGUUCUCCAAGUCCGUUUUUAAAGCCCCGGGCUCAACCUGGGAAUGGCAGUGGAAACUAGGGGACUGGAAUCUGGCAGAGGGGGGUGGAAUUCCGCGUGUAGCAGUGAAAUGCGUAGAGAUGCGGCGGAACACCGAUGGCGAAGGCAGCCCCCUGGGCUGAGAUUGACGCUCAGGCACGAAAGCGUGGGGAGCAAACAGG
rnacentral:rRNA from 1 species